rnacentral:rRNA from 1 species
AUGAUCAAGCAUGGGAAAGCCUUGCAUUCUCAGAAGACAAGCAAUGUGUUCUUCAGUUUGGAGGUCGCAUCUGCAUACCUAAGCAAGAAGUGGAAUCUACAAGCAGCUCGGGACACCCCUUUAUGCCAUCCACCUAGGGAGUACGAAGUUAUACCAGGACCUCAAGAAGUUGAUGAUGGAAUGGAAUGGAAUGGAAUUAGAUAUAGCCGCCCUUUUGUUACCAACGUCUCAGGAUGCAAGCGCGGCGGGUUGCAGCUAGCCCGCACUUGCUUAAGUGGGCUCUUCUGGUUUAUGCGGGUUGCAGCUAGCCCGCACUUGCACCCUUACCAAUGUCAAAUUAAGGCCAUAACUCUAUCAGGGUCAUAA